AAAGAAAACUGAAUAAUACUCUAUUUUUCUACAAUGAAUCUAGAAGAAAAAGAAAAGACCAAAUAUAGGAUUACUUGAAUGAGACAAAAAAGAUGGAAUUUGGAGGACAAGACAAGAGAUACUAAGAAGAGUAAACCCAAUAAACAGACUGCAGCACAGAAAGGGUCCAGGACCAGGGAGGUGGCUUGUUCAGGAAAGAGUUAACUCAACAGGUCUGGGAUAUUCAAAUCCCACACAUUUCGAAAAAAAGUUCUCUCCUCAUUGGCUCCUGGGAGAAAAUCUCUACGUCUUUGGACUAUUCUUCCAGAUUGGAGACUGAAAAGAAGAGAAGUUAAGGAACUUGUCUAAGAUUAUCAAGCAAAAAUUUAAAGCUGAAGUUUCAAUAUUUUCUCAGAAAACAAGAAAAGUUAGUGAUCUCAUUAUAGAAAGACUGUUACAGUGGCUUCAGCAGAGUCAGUGGUUGUGUCAACAGCAUCUGGAGCAGAGAGGGCAAGCUUAGUUCAUAUGAAGCAGCAAUAGCAACAGAAGAAAAGGCAGUGACAUCACCCUCAGCUUGUUGGAGGAGCCUAUGGGCCAGCUAAUGAAAAAUACAGGAGUCUGAAUAGCAGGGGAAAGCUCUGGGUGUCAGCAAUAUAUUCAAGUAGAGAUAAACAGAAGAAGAUGUGAAGAAGUCAAUGAUAGGGUAGUAGUUCUGAACUUACCUGGUGACUAUGCCAAAUGGACAAUCAUUCAGAAAUCAGGCUCUGGGAGGUUUUUCUAUCUUCAGUAAUGCCUUCUAAGGUUUUUUGGGAAUCAUCUCCAUUCCAGCUAAUGAGAAAAGGAAGAGAGUAUUUUGGGUGUCUGGGAUUUCCUCUCUGGCACUCAUUCUCCUGUCACCCUGUGAAGAGGUGCCUUCUGCCAUGAUUAGAAGUUUCCUGAGAACUCCCCAGCCAUGC
rnacentral:lncRNA from 1 species